rnacentral:lncRNA from 1 species
GUGGAGAGAAACUACAUAUCCAUUGGCUACUAGAUCCGUCUAUUUGAGGCUGACUGCGAGCGUCACUGCGUUCUGUGUUGCCAGAAAACGGAGUGUCCGCCUAGUAACACCUCAUAGCUUUUCCCAUUGGUCACCGUUUCCGGAAGCCCGCCCUCUCGUUUCCGGAAGCCCGCCCUCUCAUUUCCGGAAGCCCGCCCUCUCGUUUCCGGAAGCCCGAAGCAUGCUGUUUGCAGAUGGCGUCCAGGCUCACGGUGGGAAGUUGAUUCCGCGGGCUUGGGCUGUUCGGCCAAGCACCCGCCGAAUAUGGGACGCUGGAGAGUCAGCAAUGUGGAGUCCUCGCCUUCGGCGUCCGCGGCUGGGAAAUAGGCCAUCCCCACGUCGGGAACUGGGACUCGGGCUCGGUCUGGGCCCUUUCCCGUCAGCCCACCAGACUCUUGGGCGCCUGACUGCACUGGAGCCGAGGAAUCGGGAGGGAGCUUUUCCUGUUCUCUGUUUUGGAUGCAUUUGAAGUGAACUUCUGUGUAUUUGAUUCAUCAUGAGGAAGAUGGCGACACGGAGGGUGCCUGAUUUCCAGGUUUACAUCCGUUGCCCCAGGGUUAGUGCCUGGCCCUCCUCUGGUCUUUGCUGCU